rnacentral:rRNA from 1 species
AUACGGAGGGGGCUAGCGUUGUUCGGAAUUACUGGGCGUAAAGCGCGCGUAGGCGGAUCGUUAAGUCAGGGGUGAAAGCCCGGAGCUCAACUCCGGAACUGCCCUUGAUACUGGCGAUCUCGAGUCCGGGAGAGGUGAGCGGAAUUCCUAGUGUAGAGGUGAAAUUCGUAGAUACUAGGAGGAACACCAGUGGCGAAGGCGGCUCACUGGCCCGGUACUGACGCUGAGGUGCGAAAGCGUGGGGAGCAAACAGGAUUAGAAACCCGAGUAGUCC